rnacentral:rRNA from 1 species
CUGCGGAGGGAUCAUUACACAAUAUGAAAGCGGGCUGGCAUCCUUCGGGGUUACAGCCUUGCUGAAUUAUUCACCCGUGUCUUUUGCGUACUUCUUGUUUCCUUGGUGGGUUCGCCCACCAUAGGACAAACCAUAAACCUUUUGUAAUUGCAAUCAGCGUCAGUAAAAAAAUUAAUAAUUACAACUUUUAACAACGGAUCUCUUGGUUCUGGCAUCGAUGAAGAACGCAGCGAAAUGCGAUAAGUAGUGUGAAUUGCAGAAUUCAGUGAAUCAUCGAAUCUUUGAACGCACAUUGCGCCCUUUGGUAUUCCAAAGGGCAUGCCUGUUCGAGCGUCAUUUGUACCCUCAAGCUUUGCUUGGUGUUGGGCGUCUUGUCUCCAGUUCGCUGGAGACUCGCCUUAAAGUAAUUGGCAGCCGGCCUACUGGUUUCGGAGCGCAGCACAAGUCGCGCUCUCUUCCAGCCAAGGUCAGCAUCCACAAAGCCUUUUUUCAACUUUUGACCUCGGAUCAGGUAGGGAUACCCGCUGAACUUAAGCAUAUC